rnacentral:rRNA from 1 species
UACAGAGGCCCCGAGCGUUACGCGGUGUCAUUGGGCUUAAAGGGUGCGUAGGCGGGUCCGCAAGUGCUUUGUGAAAUCCCAUGGCUCAACCAUGGAAUCGCGGGGCAUACUGCGGGUCUUGAGGCCAGUAAGGGUUGCCGGAACUGUAGGUGUAGCGGUGAAAUGCGUAGAUAUCUACAGGAACGCCGAUGGUGAAGACGGGGCAACUGGGCUGGUACUGACGCUGAGGCACGAAAGCGUGGGGAUCAAACAGG